AUGCACCAGAAGAGAAGAGAAGGGAAGACAAGAAGAAUCAAGCGACGCGACGCGAGCAGAGGAAGAGGAGAGGAGAGGGGAGGGGAAGCCAUGGAUAUGGAUGAGUUUACGGUUUCUCCGUUCGAUGAGUAUGACCACAGCCUGCUGCGGGAGAUGUAUCCGCCGCCGGUGGACGGCGUCGAUCCCCUUGAAGUCCUGUGCUUCAACUUCACAGAAGAAGACGGCAAGCCGUGGUCCUGGUCGCCGUCCGAGGAAGAGCUCCGGGAGAUCUUCGGCGAGGGGUGGUGGCCGUUCGAGGAAGGAUCCCCAGAGGACAUGGACAGUUACCCCUUGCUGAUGCCAUCGGAAGUAUUGAUUCCGCCCUUUGCCUAG
rnacentral:rRNA from 1 species